rnacentral:rRNA from 1 species
UGAAGCUGGAAUCGCUAGUAAUCGCGAAUCAGAAUGUCGCGGUGAAUACGUUCCCGGGUCUUGUACACACCGCCCGUCACACCAUGGGAGCCGACAACGCCCGAAGUCAGUGACCUAACCGAGAGGGAGGAGCUGCCGAAGGCGGGGUUGGUAACUGGGGUGAAGUCGUAACAAGGUAUC